rnacentral:misc_RNA from 1 species
AACGCAUAUUGCACUCUGUUUCGGCAGAGUAUGCCUGUUUGAGAAUCUAUUGUAUUUCUUAUCCAGUAAUGCUGUUCUCUUGGGGACAGUGUAACUGUGUAGAUUUGAGAUAUGAAUGCUAGCAUUCUGUCUUUAAAUAGAUUGCCGCCUUGUUGGUGACUUUUUGUGUUUGAAUAGAACGCUCGUUCUCGAUUACGCUUGAAGGAUCCUUCGCUGGUCGGUUCAUACCUAUUAAAGGCUAGUACGAAAGGAAAACCUUGAACCAUGGUCUCAAAUCAGGUAGGAAGACCCGCUGAACUUAA